rnacentral:lncRNA from 1 species
CAAAUUAACAUCCAUAGCAAGAAUAAACCAAGAAUCAACCAAUUCACCUACAUUUUCAGCUAAUAAAUUUGUCCUUUUUUGUGGGUUUUAGUCGAUUUUUGGGCUCAAGAUGGAUUGCAGAAAAGCAGUGAUUCUUGUAUUGGUAUUUGUCAUCUUUGUUGCCAUUAUCGGGCAAGUUCAUGUGGAGGCAGCGAGGUUGCUGACGGAGGAAGACUUCGCCGGUGCCAAUCACUUGGAUAGAUUUCCAUCCGUAUAUGCAAAAGCAAGAGACACGAUGUCAUAUUGGUUUGAAAGGUUGGCAUCUGGACCUAGCCCUAAAGGACCUGGUCAUUAAGCUUAAAAGUAUGGCCAGCAAGUAUUUAGGCAGCAGUUCGGCCAUGCAAGGACAAUGAGCAACCAACACUAGUAUAUUUUGGUAGUAUUUACCAUUUAGAGAGGGUCUAAGACUCAGUUUUCUUUUUGGUUAUUUCAUUCUUUCUUUCUUUCAUGUCUUGUUACACUAUGAAAUCUUAAUGCAUAGAUGUCUAUUUCUGACUUUUGCCCUUGAAGUGGCAGUUAUAAUGAUAGAUAUAUUUUUUUUUCAAUUCUUUCUUUCAUUUCUUUUGCCCUUGAUCAAUGGUUCAAGCUUUCUACAAUAGCAAGUCCAUGGAUAACUCAGGUGUUCC